rnacentral:rRNA from 1 species
GACGAACGCUGGCGGCGUGCUUAACACAUGCAGGUCGAACGAUGAAGAAGAGCUUGCUCUUCGGAUUAGUGGCGAACGGGUGAGUAACACGUGACUAACCUGCCCCUUUCUCUGGGAUAACGCUCCGAAAGGAGUGCUAAUACCGGAUACUCACAUCGAGGCACAUGCCUUGAUGUGGAAAGUUUUUCGGAAAGGGAUGGAGUCGCGGCCUAUCAGCUUGUUGGUGAGGUAACGGCUCACCAAGGCGACGACGGGUAGCCGGCCUGAGAGGGCGACCGGCCACACUGGGACUGAGACACGGCCCAGACUCCUACGGGAGGCAGCAGUGGGGAAUAUUGCACAAUGGACGAAAGUCUGAUGCAGCAACGCCGCGUGGAGGAUGACACAUUUCGGUGCGUAAACUCCUUUUAUAAGAGAAGAUAAUGACGGUAUUAUAUGAAUAAGCACCGGCUAACUCCGUGCCAGCAGCCGCUGUAA